rnacentral:rRNA from 1 species
UACGUAGGGUGCAAGCGUUAAUCGGAAUUACUGGGCGUAAAGCGUGCGCAGGCGGUUCGCUAAGACAGAUGUGAAAUCCCCGGGCUUAACCUGGGAACUGCAUUUGUGACUGGCGGGCUAGAGUAUGGCAGAGGGGGGUAGGAAUUCCACGUGUAGCAGUGAAAUGCGUAGAGAAUGUGGAGGAAUACCGAUGGCGAAGGCAGCCCCCUGGGCCAAUACUGACGCUCAUGCACGAAAGCGUGGGGAGCAAACAGGAUU